rnacentral:rRNA from 1 species
UACGUAGGGGGCGAGCGUUGUCCGGAGUUACUGGGCGUAAAGCGCACGCAGGCGGUCUGCUAAGUUUGGAGUGACAGUUGGUGGCUUAACUGCCAAAGUGCUUCGAAAACUGACAGACUUGAGGGCUUCAGAGGGACACGGAAUUCCGGGUGGAGUGGUGAAAUGCGUAGAGAUCCGGAGAAACACCAAAGGCGAAGGCAGUGUCCUGGGGAGUACCUGACGCUCAGGUGCGAAAGCCAGGGGAGCGAACGGG